rnacentral:rRNA from 1 species
GAUGAACGCUGGCGGCGUGCCUAAUGCAUGCAAGUCGAGCGAACAGAUGAGGAGCUUGCUCCUCUGACGUUAGCGGCGGACGGGUGAGUAACACGUGGAUAACCUACCUAUAAGACUGGGAUAACUUCGGGAAACCGGAGCUAAUACCGGAUAAUAUAUUGAACCGCAUGGUUCAAUAGUGAAAGACGGUUUUGCUGUCACUUAUAGAUGGAUCCGCGCCGCAUUAGCUAGUUGGUAAGGUAACGGCUUACCAAGGCAACGAUACGUAGCCGACCUGAGAGGGUGAUCGGCCACACUGGAACUGAGACACGGUCCAGACUCCUACGGGAGGCAGCAGUAGGGAAUCUUCCGCAAUGGGCGAAAGCCUGACGGAGCAACGCCGCGUGAGUGAUGAAGGUCUUCGGAUCGUAAAACUCUGUUAUUAGGGAAGAACAAAUGUGUAAGUAACUAUGCACGUCUUGACGGUACCUAAUCAGAAAGCCACGGCUAACUACGUG